UACGGGGGGGGCAAGCGUUGUUCGGAAUUACUGGGCGUAAAGGGCUCGUAGGCGGCCAACUAAGUCAGACGUGAAAUCCCUCGGCUUAACCGGGGAACUGCAUCUGAUACUGGAUGGCUUGAGAUUGGGAGAGGGAUGCGGAAUUCCAGGUGUAGCGGUGAAAUGACGUAGAUAUCUGGAGGAACACCGGUGGCGAAGGCGGCAUCCUGGACCACACUGACGCUGAGGAGCGAAAGCCAGGGGGAGCAAACGGG
rnacentral:rRNA from 1 species